UGUGAUUCUCCAGGACAAGAAACAUCCUGGGAGAAGAAACAUCUGCUCAGUUCCUCAUUGUUCUUGGACUGACUAACAUCUUGUUUGCCAGAGAUGUACUGAACUUUCUGCAAGUCAUCUGUUACAUUUGUUUCUCCAGAUGUACUGAAUAAAAGGAGACCAGGACUAACUGCAGAGGUUCUGGUAACGUCCCCUUCCCCUGUCCCCUACAUUUGGCACCCAACGUGGAUAUGAAUCGGAUCCAGGGGUGAACUCGCCUGUGAGACAAACUUGGAGUAAGAGAGACAGCACAUGGAUCUCCCAGGACGAUUUCCGGACUAGGACGAGGGACACCGGUGGUAAGUGUGUCCAGCUGGGGGGUAAUUUUCUAUCUUUGCUGAGUUAUAACUAUGGGUCAGUCUCUGUCAACAGAACAGCAUAACUUUGCCAAAUUACUUAAGUCGCUGUUAAAGCAAGCUAUGUACCCAGUACGUAAGGGUGCUGUGAAGAUUUGUUAAAAGACAUGCAAAUGUAUGUCCCAUCUUUUCCCCAGGAAGGGACAGCUUAACUUAAUAUCAUGGGAACAUGUAGGUACCGCUCUCUGUGAGGCCUGGCAAAGGGGUAAUUGUCUCUCCCCUGACCGCUCCCCACUUGGGUCUUAGUCCACUGAGGUCAGAGUUGCUAGCCAUUAUAUUUGUGAUUGAAAACUUCCCUCCCCAAGCUCUUAAUAUUUUAAAUGAUUCCUCUUACACAGUUUGGUUGACUCAAAGACUAAGGAGCUAUGGUCUACUCUACCUUAGAACCUAAAUUAUUAAACUUGUUUUUAAGAUUACAAAAGGCCAUAUGUCAAAAAAUUUCUCCUGCCUUAAUAACGUGGGGGAGAGGUUUUGCCUGUGCCCUAACAGAUAAUGAAAACAUCUUGUGGCUGUCCUCCUGGAAUGUGAGACUGUGGGUCACGCUGGUGGAACUGCCAACAUCUCACAGAAUCAGUGAUAGCACCCUGGCUGAAAGCGAUGAGCCAGCUGCACCUCAGGGACCCACCUCACCAGCGACAACCAACAAAUCCAUGGCAGGGUCCAGGACUGAGAUGAUGCCCCCAGAGGAAUGAUAAUUAUACAUUUAUGGUAAAAAAUUUAUGAAGGUGGGGGACAACUUCAAAAUGCUCCUUUUAUAUUUACAGGUAUAAAAGCACUUUCAUUCCUUCUGAUUCUAAUCUCGAGAUCUCUGUUAAUUGACUAUUCCAAAGUUUUUGACCAGUCAUACAAUUAUAAAUCUAAUAAUCAUAAAAAGGAUAUUACGAUUCAAUUUGGCUAAAUAUAUUUGAGUGCACUCUAAUUUUGUAAAUUGUCUUAUAU
rnacentral:lncRNA from 1 species